GGAUGUGAGGGCGAUCUGGCUGCGACAUCUGUCACCCCAUUGAUCGCCAGGGUUGAUUCGGCUGAUCUGGCUGGCUAGGCGGGUGUCCCCUUCCUCCCUCACCGCUCCAUGUGCGUCCCUCCCGAAGCUGCGCGCUCGGUGGAAGAGGACGACGUCCCAGGUAUAGAAGGAGUGUACCGAGGUCUCCAGUCUUCGGUCCCGGGUAUACGAUAGCUGCGCUCCCCUGCUAGAACCUUCAAACAAGCUCAAGGAGCUUGAAACUUUUUUAUCGAUUGCACAGCCCUAGGUGUUACUACUGCAGCUUUUCAUAUGGACAAUUUUGUAGU
rnacentral:snRNA from 1 species